rnacentral:rRNA from 1 species
AGCAGCCGCGGUAAUUCCAGCUCCAAUAGCGUAUAUUAAAGUUGUUGCAGUUAAAAGCUCGUAGUUGAAUUUCGGGAUCAGUUGGUCGGUCGUGCCUCGGUACGUACUGGUCAAAUUGAUUCCUACCUUCUGACGAACCACGAUGUCAUUAAUUUGGUGUCGCGGGAAAUCAGGACUGUUACUUUGAAAAAUUAGAGUGUUUAAAGCAGGCUCGCGCUUGAAUACAUUAGCAUGGAAUAAUGAAAUAGGACGUUUGAUUCUAUUUUGUUGGUUUCUAGGAUCGACGUAAUGAUUAAUAGGGAUAGUUGGGGGCAUUAGUAUUCAAUUGUCAGAGGUGAAAUUCUUGGAUUUAUUGAAGACUAACUACUGCGAAAGCAUUUGCCAAGGAUGUUUUCAUUAAUCA